rnacentral:rRNA from 1 species
CCUACGGGGGGCUGCAGUGAGGAAUAUUGGUCAAUGGACGAGAGUCUGAACCAGCCAAGUAGCGUGAAGGAUGACUGCCCUAUGGGUUGUAAACUUCUUUUAUAUGGGAAUAAAAUGUUCCACGUGUGGGAUUUUGUAUGUACCAUAUGAAUAAGGAUCGGCUAACACCGUGCCAGCAGCCGCGGUAAUACGGAGGAUCCGAGCGUUAUCCGGAUUUAUUGGGUUUAAAGGGAGCGUAGGUGGAUUGUUAAGUCAGUUGUGAAAGUUUGCGGCUCAACCGUAAAAUUGCAGUUGAAACUGGCAGUCUUGAGUACAGUAGAGGUGGGCGGAAUUCGUGGUGUAGCGGUGAAAUGCUUAGAUAUCACGAAGAACUCCGAUUGCGAAGGCAGUUCACUGGACUGCAACUGACACUGAGGCUCGAAAGUGUGGGUAUCAAACAGGAUUAGAUAUCCCUGUAGUC